rnacentral:rRNA from 1 species
GGAAGGGGUGUAUUUAUUAGAUAAAAAACCAACGCGGUUCGCCGCUCCCUUGGUGAUUCAUAAUAACUUCUCGAAUCGCAUGGCCUUGUGCCGGCGAUGCUUCAUUCAAAUAUCUGCCCUAUCAACUCUCGAUGGUAGGAUAGAGGCCUACCAUGGUUUUAACGGGUAACGGGGAAUUAGGGUUCGAUUCCGGAGAGGGAGCCUGAGAAACGGCUACCACAUCCAAGGAAGGCAGCAGGCGCGCUAAUUACCCAAUCCCGAUACGGGGAGGUAGUGACAAUAAAUAACAAUACAGGGCUUUAUAGUCUUGUAAUUGGAAUGAGUACAAUUUAAAUCUCUUAACGAGGAACAAUUGGAGGGAAGUUGGUGCCAGCAGCCGCGGUAAUUCCAGCUCCAAAUAGCGUAUAUUAAAGUGGUUGAGUUAAAAAAGUCGAGUUGAAUUUUAGGGCCUGGUUGGGACGGCUGUUCUAGGGGUUGUCUGCCUGGACUGGUCUUACCCUUUGGUGAGGCUGCCUAUUGUUUACUAGUGCGGAGGGAACCAGGACUUUUAC